ensembl:lncRNA
CAUCUUGGAUUACACCUUGUUUGUGGACUAAAUUGUGGCGUUGAGAGCGCACCUGUCCUCCAGACUGCAUAUCAUAAAAGUACCGCUGAAAGGUUUACCUGACCUCCAAAAGGGCCACGCUGCUCCCGCUGCGGCAUUCACACAACAUGACGCCCCAACGCACAUUUUAUUCGAGCAGGCAGAGGCGUCUCCUGGACUUCCUGAGCUCUACCUUGUGCCAACUCAUGGACUGAGAAACUGAUGGUCUCCCCCCCCACCUCCUUAUAUUUUGGGGGGGUUAAGGAGAUCAGUGAGGGAGGGGUAAGGACAAGCGUUUCUCCAUUCCGCCGGUCCUCGGCCUCUCCUGUUCGCCCUCAUCACUCAAUCUUCGUUUAGCCCCUGACAUGUUUUAGCCAAGCACUCCUGGCUUAAUUUAUGUCUGUAAAGACAAGCUUGGCAAAGGGGAGCUUCCAGUAAAAGGCCACUGCCUAAGCCACUGACCCACACUGCGGCAAAGUGCUUAAUUUAAUUUCUAGGAGGAAGCGGUAAUGUCUCUAUUACCACAAAAAGAAAAAAAAAAUCUGCCAUCUUGGAAAAUUUG